rnacentral:rRNA from 1 species
UACGGAGGGAGCUAGCGUUGUUCGGAAUUACUGGGCGUAAAGCGCACGUAGGCGGCUCAGCAAGUCAGGGGUGAAAUCCCGGGGCUCAACCCCGGAACUGCCCUUGAAACUGCUAAGCUAGAAUCUUGGAGAGGCGAGUGGAAGUUCCAGGUGUAGCGGUGAAAUGCGUAGAUAUCUGGAGGAACACCGGUGGCGAAGGCGGCAUCCUGGACCAAUAUUGACGCUGAGGAGCGAAAGCCAGGGGAGCAAAGCGGG